rnacentral:sRNA from 1 species
GGACAAGCAGCUGCGGAUCUUUGACCCCAGAACAAAGCCGCGGGCCUCUCAGAGCACGCAGGCCCAUGAGAACAGCAGGGAUAGCCGGCUGGCAUGGAUGGGCACCUGGGAGCACCUUGUGUCUACUGGAUUCAACCAGAUGCGUGAGCGCGAAGUGAAGCUGUGGGACACGCGGUUCUUCUCCAGCGCCCUGGCCUCCCUCACCUUGGACACCUCGCUUGGGUAGGAGCUGCGGCACGCAGGUGGGCUGGGGGGCUGAUGACCCAAGGCGCCGCAGGCGAGGGCACCUGAUCCGGCCUGUCAGUGAGGCGGGCUGAUCUCCGGGGUGUUCUGGGGUACCUGAUCUGGGCUGCAAGGCCUUGCAACAGACACCUGGCCCUGUACCCCCGGAGCUUCCAGAUGUCAUGAGCAGCAGGUGCUCAGGUGCCCCUCUGGCCCCUGGU